rnacentral:rRNA from 1 species
UACGUAGGUGGCAAGCGAUACUCGGAAUCACUAGGCGUAAAGCGCAGGUAGGCGGCUCGAUAAGUCUCUUGUGAAAGCUCCCGGCUCAACUGGGAGAGGUCAAGGGAAACUGUUGGGCUAGAGUGUGGUAGAGGAAACUGGAAUUCCCGGUGUAGCGGUGAAAUGCGUAGAUAUCGGGAGGAAUACCUAUGGCGAAAGCAGGUUUCUGGGCCAUCACUGACGCUGAGCUGCGAAGGCUAGGGGAGCAAACAGG